UGAAAGGUCUGCUCAUUCAUUCCAGAACAGCGGCUCAGAGAGGCACUGCUGGUGACCUGGACUCCGAUGGGAAUGGGUUUUACAAAACUGAUUUCCACGCCAGCCAAGGCAGACACCCCCUGGAAGGUGGAAGCUGGGAUUUAACAUUAUGAGAAGGAGGGCACUGGCCUCAGACCCACCACCUCGGUUUGGAUCUCAACUCUUCCCUUCACUCCCUAAGGGUACCUGGUGGCGUGGGGACUGGACACACCACAGCGGUCGCUGGCUGGCUCAGCUUGCCCAGGAUGCAGGAACGUGCGUGGUGCAGACAGAUACCGUAUUUUCCUUCAGUCCUGAUUCUGGGAAAGCAGCAAGAGAAGAGGUUGGGGAAGGGAGUGGUCAUUCUACACAGGCACCCAAGGCGAGGGGAGUGGGAAGAGGGUGACUUAUAAAGUAGCAGGCCACCGCUGAGACCGGCCAAGGGAUGAGUAUUACUCAGAGGGUGGGUCCAGUUCCCAUUUUACAGCAGAAGUAAACUCUCCAGACCCUGUUGUAGUUGGCUAAUGGUGAUCCCCAAACCACAGGCUCCAGAGAUAUGAGCCAGCGUUCCAGGAAAAGCCACCCACGGGAGAAGGGAGGAUGGAGGGACAGAGCCUGGAGCAAGGGCCUGCGUGUUUGGGGCUGAUUGCUUCAAAUGGAGGGUGAUUGUGCCUUCCAGCUCAGGGUUCAUUGGUCAGACCUCCAGCACAAUCCAGUACACAUCCACGGAUGCCUACAUGGCAGGGAGUUAAGUUUGCCCUCCCCAAAGUCAACAUCCAGAGAACCGAGAGAGUCGUGGGGUCACUGGGAAGUUCUUCAUUCUGGUUCUUUUUUUUUUUUAAGCUCAGAAAGACCAGCCCACCACUUAGGAGGCUUUGUUUGGAUGGUUCUCCAAACCCCUGG